rnacentral:rRNA from 1 species
CUACGGGGGGCUGCAGUGAGGAAUUUUGCGCAAUGGGGGAAACCCUGACGCAGCAACGCCGCGUGAGUGAAGAAGGCCUUCGGGUCGUAAAGCUCUGUCAGAUGGGAAAAAAUUACUGUGGUUAAUAGCCACGGUGCCUGAUGUUACCAUCAGAGGAAGCACCGGCUAACUCCGUGCCAGCAGCCGCGGUAAGACGGAGGGUGCAAGCGUUGUUCGGAAUUACUGGGCGUAAAGAGCGUGUAGGCGGUAUGGUAAGUCAGAUGUGAAAGCCCUGGGCUCAACCCAGGAAGUGCAUUUGAUACUGCCAGUCUUGAGUAUGGGAGAGGGGAGUGGAAUUCCCAGUGUAGAGGUGAAAUUCGUAGAUAUUGGGAGGAACACCCGUGGCGAAGGCGACUCUCUGGACCAAUACUGACGCUGAGACGCGAAAGCGUGGGGAGCAAACAGGAUUAGAUACCCCUGUAGUC